rnacentral:rRNA from 1 species
CCUACGGGAGGCAGCAGUGAGGAAUAUUGGGCAAUGGGCGCAAGCCUGACCCAGCAACGCCGCGUGAAGGAAGAAGGCUUUCGGGUUGUAAACUUCUUUUGACAGGGAAGAGCAGAAGACGGUACCUGUCGAAUAAGCCACGGCUAACUACGGGCCAGCAGCCGCGGUAAUACGUAGGGGGCAAGCGUUGUCCGGAUUUAAUGGGUGUAAAGGGCGUGUAGCGGGGCUGAGCAGGUAGAUGUGAAAUCCGGGGGCUCAAACCCCGAACUGCAUUUGAAACUGUUGGUCUUGAGUAUCGGAGAGGCAGGCGGAAUUCCUGGUGUAGCGGUGGAAUGCGUAGAUAUUAGGAGGAACACCAGUGGCGAAGGCGGCCUGCUGGACGACAACUGACGGUGAGGCGCGAAAGCGUGGGGAGCAAACAGGAUUAGAUACCCGGGUAGUC